UACAGAGGGUGCAAGCGUUGCUCGGAUUUACUGGGCGUAAAGCGUACGCAGACGGCUUGGUAGGUCGGAUGUGAAAGCCCCGGGCUCAACCCGGGAAUUGCAUCCGAAACCACCUCGCUCGAGUGUGGGAGAGGGAAGCGGAAUUCCUGGUGUAGAGGUGAAAUUCGUAGAUAUCAGGAGGAACACCGGCGGCGAAGGCGGCUUCCUGGCCCGGUACUGACGCUGAGGUGCGAAAGCGUGGGGAGCAAACAGG
rnacentral:rRNA from 1 species